GGCCUGAUGUCCGAGUGGCUAGGAAGCGGUCUGCAAAACCGCGCACGCCGGUUCAAUUCCGGCUCAGGCCU
rnacentral:tRNA from 1 species